AGCCAGAAGUGCUUAGAAACUCCUGAGUAUCCUGCCUGAGACCCAAGUGAUGUUUUCCAAAUAAUGUCCCUGGGGGAAGACACAGCAGCAGACACUGCAAAGCCAUGAAGAUUAUUUGAGUCAUUCUGGAUUUGCUGUGGGACAAAAAACACAGGAUGUGGCCAGAUCCAGCAAACAUACUUUUCAAUCAGAUUUACAUAAAAUCCACUCCUUCACCCACCAGACACACAUACAAAAAAAACAAAAUAAUAAUCAUAUCAAAACAGAACUGAUUGUGAAACCUCCUUUUGUCCUGUGAGAAUUUCAGAUUUCAGAAGUUUUACCAUCAAAACUUGAUAAUUCUUGCAGGCCAGUAAUCCAUGAAGAAUUCACCAUAGGUCUUUUGAGAUAUUUUUCAUGCUUUAGGUCC
rnacentral:lncRNA from 1 species